GACGAACGCUGGCGGCGUGCCUAAUACAUGCAAGUAGAACGCACAGUUUAUACCGUAGCUUGCUACACCAUAGACUGUGAGUUGCGAACGGGUGAGUAACGCGUAGGUAACCUGCCUGGUAGCGGGGGAUAACUAUUGGAAACGAUAGCUAAUACCGCAUAAUAUUAAUUAUUGCAUGAUAAUUAAUUGAAAGGUGCAAUUGCACCACUACCAGAUGGACCUGCGUUGUAUUAGCUAGUAGGUGAGGUAACGGCUCGCCUAGGCGACGAUACAUAGCCGACCUGAGAGGGUGAUCGGCCACACUGGGACUGAGACACGGCCCAGACUCCUACGGGAGGCAGCAGUAGGGAAUCUUCGGCAAUGGACGAAAGUCUGACCGAGCAACGCCGCGUGAGUGAAGAAGGUUUUCGGAUCGUAAAGCUCUGUUGUAAGAGAAGAACGGGUGUGAGAGUGGAAAGUUCACACUGUGACGGUAUCUUACCAGAAAGGGACGGCUAACUACGUG
rnacentral:rRNA from 1 species